GCCCCAAUAGCUAGUCCACCCUUCAAAUUCAAACAAACAACAUUAAUAGCCCCACAAGCCCCACCAACUAUAUGGCUAAACCAUUCUCCCGCCCC
rnacentral:rRNA from 1 species